AUACGGAGGAUGCAAGCGUUAUCCGGAUUUAUUGGGUUUAAAGGGUGCGUAGGCUGUGGGGAAAGUCAGGGGUGAAAGCCCGGCGCUUAACGCCGGAACUGCCUUUGAUACUUCUCCGCUGGAAUACGGAUGCCGUGGGAGGAAUGAGUAGUGUAGCGGUGAAAUGCAUAGAUAUUACUCAGAACACCGAUUGCGAAGGCCUCUCACGAAUCCGUCAUUGACGCUGAGGCACGAAAGCGUGGGGAUCAAACAGGAUUAGAUACCCUGGUAGUCCACGCAGUAAACGAUGAUAACUAACCGUCGGCGAUACACAGUCGGUGGCCAAGCGAAAGCGAUAAGUUAUCCACCUGGGGAGUACGUUCGCAAGAAUGAAACUCAAAUGAAUUGACGGGG
rnacentral:rRNA from 1 species